rnacentral:rRNA from 1 species
AUUGAACGCUGGCGGCAUGCCUUACACAUGCAAGUCGAACGGCAGCACGGGAGCAAUCCUGGUGGCGAGUGGCGAACGGGUGAGUAAUAUAUCGGAACGUGCCCAGUCGUGGGGGAUAACGUAGCGAAAGCUACGCUAAUACCGCAUACGAUCUACGGAUGAAAGCGGGGGAUCGCAAGACCUCGCGCGAUUGGAGCGGCCGAUAUCAGAUUAGGUAGUUGGUGGGGUAAAGGCUCACCAAGCCGACGAACUGUAGCUGGUCUGAGAGGACGGCCAGACACACUGGGACUGAGACACGGCCCAGACUCCUACGGGAGGCAGCAGUGGGGAAUUUUGGACAAUGGGCGCAAGCCUGAUCCAGCAAUGCCGCGUGCAGGAUGAAGGCCUUCGGGUUGUAAACUGCUUUUGUACGGAACGAAACGGCGAGCUCUAAUACAGUUUGCUAAUGACGGUACCGUAAGAAUAAGCACCGGCUAACUACGUGCCAGCAGCCGCCGUAA